CAGUCGCCACGGUAAUACGAAGGGGGCUAGCGUUGCUCGGAAUCACUGGGCGUAAAGGGUGCGUAGGCGGGUCUUUAAGUCAGGGGUGAAAUCCUGGAGCUCAACUCCAGAACUGCCUUUGAUACUGAAGAUCUUGAGUUCGGGAGAGGUGAGUGGAACUGCGAGUGUAGAGGUGAAAUUCGUAGAUAUUCGCAAGAACACCAGUGGCGAAGGCGGCUCACUGGCCCGAUACUGACGCUGAGGCACGAAAGCGUGGGGAGCAAACAGGAUUAGAUACCCCCGUAGUCCCUGUCUCUUAUCA
rnacentral:rRNA from 1 species